GACGAACGCUGGCGGCGUGCUUAACACGUGCAAGUCGAACGGAAAGGCUCCAGCUUGCUGGAGUACUCGAGUGGCGAACGGGUGAGUAACACGUGGGUAAUCUGCCCUGCACUCUGGGAUAAGCCUGGGAAACUGGGUCUAAUACUGGAUAUGACCUUUCUCCUUAUGGGGUUUGGUGGAAAGUUUUUCGGUGUAGGAUGAGCCCGCGGCCUAUCAGCUUGUUGGUGGGGUGAUGGCCUACCAAGGCGACGACGGGUAGCCGGCCUGAGAGGGUGAUCGGCCACAUUGGGACUGAGAUACGGCCCAGACUCCUACGGGAGGCAGCAGUGGGGAAUAUUGCACAAUGGGCGGAAGCCUGAUGCAGCGACGCCGCGUGAGGGAUGACGGCCUUCGGGUUGUAAACCUCUUUCAGCAGGGACGAAGCGUAAGUGACGGUACCUGCAGAAGAAGCACCGGCUAACUAUGUG
rnacentral:rRNA from 1 species